UUGUAAGUGUCUGCUUGGACUGAUCAUUCUCACAGGAAAACUUAUUCUGGAACAACAGUGUGGGCAGUGAGAUGAGAACAGAGACACACUGAGCUUUAACCACUAACCAUCGACCAACUGCUGACUGAUGAGGAAACAUCAUUAGCUUCUGAGAGACAAAGACAAACUGAACCACAGUGAUCUGAACUGAAGACAGCGACUGUAACACAUUUCAGUUUCAUUCAGCAACAUGAACGGUGAAUAUCAGGCCUUGAUGGAUGAAAACAAAACCAGAGCCAUAAUCUUCCUCAUGACUAGUGUUUGUGUGAGUCUUCCAGCUCUGGUUUUGGCUUUUCAACUUUUCCACCUUCACAGAAAGAUCAGAGGCCGAAUCUCAGUCUUCAUCCUCCUCCUCCUCCUCAAUGAUCUGAUACAAUUACUCCUUCAUCUAUAUAUACUGGCAAAUAUACUGUCAGAAUACAGAUACUAUAUCCCUGAGCUUGUCCAGUUUUGGUUGGGAUUAUAUUGGUGUGGUUUUCAUCUGCAUCAGCUGGUGGCUCUGGAGGGGAUUGUGACUCUGAAAUAUCCGCUUUGUUCUGCUCGUAUUUUCUCAGUGCCCUGUUACAUCACAGUCUCCAUCCUUGUGCUUUUUUUUUCUACAGUGAGUGCAUUAUUUCUUUCUAUUCCUUUAGCUCGUCCACUUGAAACUUCAAACAAGUCAUUAUUCAGUCUCAGCACAAGUUUUGUUCCUCUGAUCGUAUUGUCUGUAUCAUCUACAAUCAGCUGUAAAGCCUCUUCCACUCCUGUCAGCAAAAACAUAUGUUCAUUGUUCAUUGUUGCUAGUCUUACAUAUGUUAUGAUGUACUUACCUUUCAUGUUCAUCACCUGGGUGGAUUUCUUUAAUUUAUAUCCAUAUGUCGACCCAUCUUGGUUCAUAAUAUCUCACUGUUUGAUGAGUUUGAGAGUGUUUUCAGGCCCUAUUCUGUGUGGUUUGGUCUGCAGAGAAAAUCUCAGAGAUGUUCAGACGCCACAAACACACACAGAACUCAACGCUGAUGAGACGUCAGUAUGAACUUGAGUUUCAUUAGUCCUCACUCCUGAAACUGGCUUCAUAAAAAAACAUGAAAUGACCUGUAUAAUGAAAAGAAUUAAUAAUAUAAAUAAUAUAUGACUUAAAGAUUAAUUUGUAAGGUUUGUGGUUGCUAAAAGUGAAAGUGUGCUCUCUGUGCCACAAACAGCACAAACUGAGUUUCCGGGCCCUAUUUUAACGAUCUGAAACGCAAGUGUC